AUUGAACGCUGGCGGCAUGCUUUACACAUGCAAGUCGAACGGCAGCGGGGUAGUGCUUGCACUACUGCCGGCGAGUGGCGCACGUGUGAGUCAUAUAUCGGAACGUACCGAGUAAUGGGGGAUAACCAAUCGAAAGAUUGGCUAAUACCGCAUACGUCCUGAGGGACAAAGCGCAGGAUCGCAAGACCUCGCGUCAUUCGAGUGUCCGGUAACUCAUUAGCUAGUUGGUGGGGUAAAGGCCUACCAAGGCCACGAUCAGUAGCGGGUCUGAGAGGACGAUCCGCCACACUGGAACUGAGACACGGCCCAGACUCCUACGGGAGGCAGCAGUAGGGAAUUUUGGGCAAUGGGGGCAACCCUGAUCCAGCCAUGCCGCGUGUAUGAAGAAGGCCUUCGGGUUGUAAAGUACUUUUGUUAGGGAAGAAAAGGGAAGUGCUAAUACCACUAUUUGCUGACGGUACCUAAAGAAUAAGCACCGGCUAACUACGUG
rnacentral:rRNA from 1 species